rnacentral:tRNA from 1 species
ACUCAAAUAGCUUAAUUUUAAAAGUAGGGUAUUGAAGAUACUCCGAUAAGGGCUUCCUUUUUGAGUG